rnacentral:rRNA from 1 species
AUUGAACGCUGGCGGCAGGCCUAACACAUGCAAGUCGACCGAGUGGCGGACGGGUGAGUAAUGUCUGGGCAACUGCCUGAUGGAGGGGGCUAACUACUGGAAACGGUAGCUAAUACCGCAUACCAUCAGAUGUGCCCAGAUGGGAUUAGCUUGUUGGGGGGGUAACGGCGCACCAAGGCGACGAUCCCUAGCUGGUCUGAGAGGAUGACCAGCAACAAUGGAACUGGGACACGGUACAGACUCCGACGGGAGGCAGCAGGGGGGAAUAUGGCACAUGGGGCGGAAGCCUGAUGCAGCCAGGCCGCGUGUAUGAAGAAGGACUUCGGGUUGUAAAGUACUUUCAGCGGGGAGGCGUUACCCGAAGAAGAAGAACCGGCUAACUCCGUGCCAGCCGCGGCGGUAAUAC